rnacentral:rRNA from 1 species
UACGGAGGGGGCUAGCGUUGCUCGGAAUCACUGGGCGUAAAGGGUGCGUAGGCGGGUCUUUAAGUCAGGGGUGAAAUCCUGGAGCUCAACUCCAGAACUGCCUUUGAUACUGAAGAUCUUGAGUUCGGGAGAGGUGAGUGGAACUGCGAGUGUAGAGGUGAAAUUCGUAGAUAUCGCAAGAACACCAGUGGCGAAGGCGGCUCACUGGCCCGAUACUGACGCUGAGGCACGAAAGCG